UCAAAGCCUAAAUUCAAGUCACAUUUUCAUUUCCUAGAUAUCGCAGGGUUAUACUAACUGAGCAUCAGUUGGCCCCUGGCGUGGACUCAGUAGCUGCUUAAACACCUUGACUCGUGUCUGAUUGAGAGGGCCAGUGAGACCAAAUGGAUCUGGCAUUUCAGUCUGGAGAUUCCCAGCAAACAUUAUUUGAUGAAGCAACCACAGGUGAAGUGCGAAAGAUUUUGCAGCCGAGCUCAGAGAAUGAUGCAAAGCUUCAGGAGCUGAAGACGUUCCUUAUUGACUGGAUCAACAAUGAGUUAAAGGAGGAACAUAUUGUUGUGCAAAGCCUGGAAGAGGAUCUCUUUGAUGGUUUAAUUCUUCAUCACAUUUUACAGAAAAUGGCAAACAUCAAAAUAGAAGUGGAAGAAAUCACAUUAUCUUCUAUCAACCAGAAACGGAAGCUGGGAGUGAUACUGGAAGCCGUGUCUUCACAUCUGCAACUGGAGGAAAGCCAGCUGAAGUGGGACGUGAACUUGAUCCACAGUAAGGACCUUCUUGCCACCCUACAUCUGCUUGUUGCCCUAGCCUGUCAUUUUCAGCCUGAUCUACCUCUUCCUUCCAAUGUGUCUGUAGAAGUCAUUGUUGUAGAGCCAACAAAAACUGGAAUGAAGACCGGAAAAGCUAUUGAAUUUGUUACCCAAAACAGCAACAAAGAUGCGGCUCCCAAGAAGGAUGGAUUUGAUCAACUUUUUGAACUUGAUCCAGAUAAAGUAAAUGAUGUUAAACAGGCAAUGCUGAAUUUCGUGAAUAAGCAGUUGGUCAAUCUGAGUCUCACGGUGACAGAUCUUGAUACUCAGUUAGCUGAUGGGGUCAUUCUCCUGCUGUUGAUUGGACAACUUGAAGGCUAUUUUAUAAACCUAUCUACGUUCUUCCUGACACCCGAAUCACACAAUGACAAGCUUCACAAUGUUUCACUUGCCUUGGACCUUCUCACGGAAGGUGGAAUCUUACAAAACCCUGUUGAACCUAUAGAUGUCAAUCACAUCUGUCUCCUCUGUGGGCGAUUUUGCUGGAGCAAACCACACGUUCAUACUGCUGUAAAUCCACAACGCUUGGCAUAAAGCGCUGGCUCCCAGCUAUAUACAUUAAUGGUGCCGGGUGUUAAGGGGUUAAUAGAACAACUAUUAUAAAGGAAAACAAGUUGAUAAGAACUAUUCUGAAUAUCCUGCACUGCAAUCUCCUAUAACAAUGUACACAAUCAAGGAAUGAAAAUCUGAGAUUGUGAAUGGAGAUUUAAAACCCACCCUGCGAGUCUUGUACAGCCUGUUCCUCAAACAUAAAAAAGCCUCAAAACCUUCUUGAAGAUGGAUUUGGAUAAAGUCUCAUCAGAUCAUAUGAUGCCGACGAUGAGAUGUUCUUAUGUCUUUUCAUUUAAAAUGUCCAAAUUUUUUUUGUUUUUAUAAAACACAUGGGAGAUGAUGAUUUCUUUCAAGAGAUGGAAAGACUGUUAAAAGGGAUAAUGAAUGAGCAGAUACAUAAAAUAUAUUUUGUUGUUAGACCAAGUAGGACAGCAGCUGUGCAGCGAGCAACCUCUUAAUAUACUGCAAUACAAAGAAAAUAAAUCUAUUUUACUCCCAACUGUGUCCCUAAUAAAACAACUUGUCGUUCAGUGAUAUCUAGUGAUAUACUGCAUAUCUAUCUAUUUCUCUAUCUGAGCUUGACAAAGGCUCCAUUGAGAGACCUGAAAUGCUGCAUUGCUGUUGGGUGUAAUAAAAAAAAUCCACCUUUUCACUUGAA